rnacentral:rRNA from 1 species
UACGUAGGGGGCAAGCGUUGUCCGGAUUUAUUGGGCGUAAAGAGCGUGUAGGCGGCCAAGCAGGUCAGCUGUGAAAACUCGAGGCUCAACCUCGAGACGUCGGUUGAAACCGUUUGGCUAGAGUCCGGAAGAGGAGAGUGGAAUUCCUGGUGUAGCGGUGAAAUGCGCAGAUAUCAGGAAGAACACCCGUGGCGAAGGCGGCUCUCUGGGACGGUACUGACGCUGAGACGCGAAAGCGUGGGGAGCGAACAGG